ensembl:lncRNA
GAGCAGCUGGGCCCGAGGGGAGGGCAUGGCAUUGGCCACGGCUUGGUUCAGCUCGGCUCAGUGACAAGGGAGCCCCUCCCAGGUGCUGGGGGAUCUGAGAUAGUUUGUCAGCAACAUCCGGCCCCAUGACCGAAGUAUUAUGAAGGAACAAUGAAGCUCUUGGACCUAGAAAACAGGGCAGGGGAGAGAAAGGAAUCUAAGGAGAUUUGAGGAACAGAAGUGGACCCAAAGACUAACAAAGGCCCUCAUCGAUCGUUCCAGAGAAGAAUCAAUCAGAAAGAUAAACAUUUGGGCUCACUGUAUAAGAGGAAUGUUGUUGGUGCUGCCAUAGAGUCAAGGACAGAACUGUGAGUGGCACAAAGCCAAACUUAGGGAAACAUCAGGAAGAAUGAGAAGGCGAAAUGUCAGCCAGUCCCACUCCAUCCAGCAGGGUUCCUCAGGAGGGGCUCCCACUGCUGAUGCUCAUGAAGAUUUGCUACUGCACCCACGCCGCCGUCUCAGAGCCACCUGGGCUCCCACUCCUCAUAGCUGGCAGGAUUCUGGGCAUGUGGGUUCAGCCCUACUCUGAGGCUUUUGCCAGGUGGCCCUGUGGAUCAUGGGCACAGACCUGAGCUCUCCAUCGCACCGGCUGGGUCUGCAACAGAAGAAGCAGCUGGGAUUGACGUCUUCAGGCUGGCAUUGGCAGACUCAAGCUGCUUCGAGGGCUGCAGGAACCGCCCGGGGCAUCACUGGCUCCACAGCACCAACCCCAACCUCCAGGAAAGACUGUUCUCCAACCAUGAUGACACCAUCAGCCACCACAGCCCCCUAGGCCUCAAGAGCCCUCAUAAUAGUUUCCUGCAAUGUGUUCAUUCACUCAGCCCAUGUGUCCCUGACCACCUGUGUGCUGGCUCUCCUGUUGGACAUCACAGGAGGAUUCUGAAGAAUCUGAGAACUACAAUGGAGUAGGAAAGGUACACGUCCACUUUGGAAACUGGUUGGCAUUCCUAAUCAUGAACAUGUGGCUCACGCCUGUAAUCCCGGCCUUCAGGAAAGCUGAGGGUCUUGGUGAGCUAAAUUGCCCAGACUGAGCUCGAACUUCUCAGUCCUCCUGCCUGAGCCUCCCAGAGGCUAGGAUAACAGGCAUGCACCACCACAGCCAGCUGUAAUUCUUGAUCUGUGAGAAGACCACGUGGUUAGUUCCCUUUGGAAAAGCACUGGCUCCAGCGGCCAGGCAGGAAGUGGAGGGGAAAGUACCGCGUUCACGCUUCGCCGCUCCUAGUUGCAAGGCUUCCCAGCUGCCCACUCCCUUCCUUGGCCUCUGCUUUCUUGCAUAAGACACCAGCUUCCCCUUGGCUGUGUCAGCAAGUCACCCUCACCAGCGAUUCCUCAGGCUGUGGCCGACUCUAGGCUGGCAUUUGCAAUCCGGAAGCACUGUUGGCUUCUCGGUUUUUUCCAAGGAAAUGAAAAGGCUCCGAGUUCCCAGCAUCGUGGCUCAGUGGAUCACCACGUCGCAGCUGGGCAAAGGCGCUUUAUCAUCCCAGCAAGAGGAGCAGCCCCCAGCCCCCCACCCGGGAAGGAGGGGUGCAGGGAGGGUGCGGAAGCAGGGAAGGCCGUGAGGUCAGUCUCAGCGCCCACAGCCCCCUUCCCAGGAGGCUGACAGUCAGUGCAGAUGCUGUCCUCCUCCCUGAAAAUCCUGCCCUUCUCCUCCGGGGCUCAGGAUGCUGCUGCAUGGUCACCCCGAGAGCCCCUGCGGGACAGGAGCAGGUCUAGAGGAGCCGAUGGCCAGUCCGAGAACGUGGACAGGGCCCCCCCCCCCCGCCUGAGUCUGCAGACUCUGAGGUCCUGCUGGCCCCGCAGAGCCCAACCACUUGUUAAUUACAGAGAGGACUUUAGUCUUUUAUUAGCACAUGUUUGUGAUAGCUAAUGUUGACAUUCCUGUGUGGAGUAGGUGCAUGCACAUAACACAUCCCAAUUCUUUUUCCAUCCCCUUUCUCUCUCCUCCCUCCUCCCCUCUCCGUCUCUGCCCUUCCUGUUUAAGAAAGAUCCAUCUCCCUACUUCCUGUUAUAUAUCUUUUAUUUAUAAUUUGGGUUUCUCAUAUAAAAGAAACCAUGCAAUAUUUAAGCUCUCGUCCCUGAUGUAUUUCACGCAACAUUACGGUCUGAAGAUGCAUCCAUUUUCCUACAAAUGACUCAAGUUUAUCUUCGUGGCAGAGUAGUACUUCGUUGUGUGUAAACACCAUAUUUUCUUUAUCCAUUCAUCUGUAGAUGGACAUAUAGGCUGCUUCCAAGACUUAGCUAUUAUGAAUUGUGCUGCUAUAAACCUGAAUAUUCAUGUAUCACUGUAAUGUGAUGUCUUCAAUGCUUCUGAGAAGAUGCCUAGAAGGGGAAUAGCUGGGUGGAAUGGAAUUUCUAGUUGUAGCUUUUUGAGAAAUCUCCACACUGAUUUCUGUAGUGGUUGUACUCCCGCUGACAAUGUAGAAG